rnacentral:tRNA from 1 species
GGUGAGAUGCCUGAGUGGCCGAAAGGACAUGUUUGCUAAACAUGCGUACGGGAAACUGUACCGUGAGUUCGAAUCUCACUCUCACCG